CAGGGAAUAGUUUAAUUAAAAUAUUAAUUUUGGGAAUUAAUGAAAAAGUAUAUNCUUUUUCUCUGA
rnacentral:tRNA from 1 species